rnacentral:rRNA from 1 species
UACAGAGGGGGCAAGCGUUGUUCGGAAUUACUGGGCGUAAAGGGCGCGUAGGCGGCCUUCUAAGUCAUGCGUGAAAUCCCCGGGCUCAACCCGGGAACUGCGUCUGAUACUGGAAGGCUUGAAUCCGGGAGAGGGAUGUGGAAUUCCAGGUGUAGCGGUGAAAUGCGUAGAUAUCUGGAGGAACACCGGUGGCGAAGGCGGCAUCCUGGACCGGUAUUGACGCUGAUGCGCGAAAGCCAGGGGAGCAAACGGG